rnacentral:RNase_P_RNA from 1 species
AAUGUUAGGAAAGUCCAUGCUAGCACAAUCUGAGAUGAUUGUAGUGUUUGCGCUAGUUUAAUAAAUAAGGCUAGGCACCUUUUGGUGACGGCGGAAGAUAAUCUAAGUCUUAUGAUAUGAUUUAUUCCAUAAAGUGCCACAGAGACGAGUUUAAUCGAAAGAUUAAAAUGAAACGUUGGUAAACCCCACAAGCUAGAAACCCAAAUUUGGUAGGGGAAUCGUUGGAGUCAAAAUGAAGAUGAAAACGGACGAUUUAUUCGUAGAUAAAUGAUUACCUAAUACAGAACAUGGCUUAUAG